rnacentral:rRNA from 1 species
UUAAGCGACUAAGCGUACACGGUGGAUGCCCUGGCAGUCAGAGGCGAUGAAGGACGUGCUAAUCUGCGAUAAGCGUCGGUAAGGUGAUAUGAACCGUUAUAACCGGCGAUUUCCGAAUGGGGAAACCCAGUGUGUUUCGACACACUAUCAUUAACUGAAUCCAUAGGUUAAUGAGGCGAACCGGGGGAACUGAAACAUCUAAGUACCCCGAGGAAAAGAAAUCAACCGAGAUUCCCCCAGUAGCGGCGAGCGAACGGGGAGCAGCCCAGAGCCUGAAUCAGUGUGUGUGUUAGUGGAAGCGUCUGGAAAGGCGCGCGAUACAGGGUGACAGCCCCGUACACAAAAAUGCACAUGCUGUGAGCUCGAUGAGUAGGGCGGGACACGUGGUAUCCUGUCUGAAUAUGGGGGGACCAUCCUCCAAGGCUAAAUACUCCUGACUGACCGAUAGUGAACCAGUACCGUGAGGGAAAGGCGAAAAGAACCCCGGCGAGGGGAGUGAAAAAGAACCUGAAACCGUGUACGUACAAGCAGUGGGAGCACGCUUAGGCGUGUGACUGCGUACCUUUUGUAUAAUGGGUCAGCGACUUAUAUUCUGUAGCAAGGUUAACCGAAUAGGGGAGCCGAAGGGAAACCGAGUCUUAACUGGGCGUUAAGUUGCAGGGUAUAGACCCGAAACCCGGUGAUCUAGCCAUGGGCAGGUUGAAGGUUGGGUAACACUAACUGGAGGACCGAACCGACUAAUGUUGAAAAAUUAGCGGAUGACUUGUGGCUGGGGGUGAAAGGCCAAUCAAACCGGGAGAUAGCUGGUUCUCCCCGAAAGCUAUUUAGGUAGCGCCUCGUGAAUUCAUCUCCGGGGGUAGAGCACUGUUUCGGCAAGGGGGUCAUCCCGACUUACCAACCCGAUGCAAACUGCGAAUACCGGAGAAUGUUAUCACGGGAGACACACGGCGGGUGCUAACGUCCGUCGUGAAGAGGGAAACAACCCAGACCGCCAGCUAAGGUCCCAAAGUCAUGGUUAAGUGGGAAACGAUGUGGGAAGGCCCAGACAGCCAGGAUGUUGGCUUAGAAGCAGCCAUCAUUUAAAGAAAGCGUAAUAGCUCACUGGUCGAGUCGGCCUGCGCGGAAGAUGUAACGGGGCUAAACCAUGCACCGAAGCUGCGGCAGCGACGCUGAUGCGUUGUUGGGUAGGGGAGCGUUCUGUAAGCCUGCGAAGGUGUGCUGUGAGGCAUGCUGGAGGUAUCAGAAGUGCGAAUGCUGACAUAAGUAACGAUAAAGCGGGUGAAAAGCCCGCUCGCCGGAAGACCAAGGGUUCCUGUCCAACGUUAAUCGGGGCAGGGUGAGUCGACCCCUAAGGCGAGGCCGAAAGGCGUAGUCGAUGGGAAACAGGUUAAUAUUCCUGUACUUGGUGUUACUGCGAAGGGGGGACGGAGAAGGCUAUGUUGGCCGGGCGACGGUUGUCCCGGUUUAAGCGUGUAGGCUGGUUUUCCAGGCAAAUCCGGAAAAUCAAGGCUGAGGCGUGAUGACGAGGCACUACGGUGCUGAAGCAACAAAUGCCCUGCUUCCAGGAAAAGCCUCUAAGCAUCAGGUAACAUCAAAUCGUACCCCAAACCGACACAGGUGGUCAGGUAGAGAAUACCAAGGCGCUUGAGAGAACUCGGGUGAAGGAACUAGGCAAAAUGGUGCCGUAACUUCGGGAGAAGGCACGCUGAUAUGUAGGUGAAGCGACUUGCUCGUGGAGCUGAAAUCAGUCGAAGAUACCAGCUGGCUGCAACUGUUUAUUAAAAACACAGCACUGUGCAAACACGAAAGUGGACGUAUACGGUGUGACGCCUGCCCGGUGCCGGAAGGUUAAUUGAUGGGGUCAGCGCAAGCGAAGCUCUUGAUCGAAGCCCCGGUAAACGGCGGCCGUAACUAUAACGGUCCUAAGGUAGCGAAAUUCCUUGUCGGGUAAGUUCCGACCUGCACGAAUGGCGUAAUGAUGGCCAGGCUGUCUCCACCCGAGACUCAGUGAAAUUGAACUCGCUGUGAAGAUGCAGUGUACCCGCGGCAAGACGGAAAGACCCCGUGAACCUUUACUAUAGCUUGACACUGAACAUUGAGCCUUGAUGUGUAGGAUAGGUGGGAGGCUUGGAAGUGUGGACGCCAGUCUGCAUGGAGCCGACCUUGAAAUACCACCCUUUAAUGUUUGAUGUUCUAACGUGGACCCGUGAUCCGGGUUGCGGACAGUGUCUGGUGGGUAGUUUGACUGGGGCGGUCUCCUCCUAAAGAGUAACGGAGGAGCACGAAGGUUGGCUAAUCCUGGUCGGACAUCAGGAGGUUAGUGCAAUGGCAUAAGCCAGCUUGACUGCGAGCGUGACGGCGCGAGCAGGUGCGAAAGCAGGUCAUAGUGAUCCGGUGGUUCUGAAUGGAAGGGCCAUCGCUCAACGGAUAAAAGGUACUCCGGGGAUAACAGGCUGAUACCGCCCAAGAGUUCAUAUCGACGGCGGUGUUUGGCACCUCGAUGUCGGCUCAUCACAUCCUGGGGCUGAAGUAGGUCCCAAGGGUAUGGCUGUUCGCCAUUUAAAGUGGUACGCGAGCUGGGUUUAGAACGUCGUGAGACAGUUCGGUCCCUAUCUGCCGUGGGCGCUGGAGAACUGAGGGGGGCUGCUUCUAGUACGAGAGGACCGGAGUGGACGCAUCACUGGUGUUCGGGUUGUCAUGCCAAUGGCACUGCCCGGUAGCUAAAUGCGGAAGAGAUAAGUGCUGAAAGCAUCUAAGCACGAAACUUGCCCCGAGAUGAGUUCUCCCUGACCCUUUAAGGGUCCUGAAGGAACGUUGAAGACGACGACGUUGAUAGGCCGGGUGUGUAAGCGCAGCGAUGCGUUGAGCUAACCGGUACUAAUGAACCGUGAGGCUUAACCUU